CUGACCUCUUGGCUUUCUCCUUUACAUUGUUUCUGUGUUUCUUAUUUAAUAAGACGGUUAGUUACAUCAAUAUCUCUUUGUGUCAUUCACCAAGCAAUAGAGGAAGCAGUAUGAAUGUCCAGUCGGUAGCUGAGCACUGGAGCAUUCAUUGGAUGUGGCAUCCUUUUCUGACUACAUUUUCUACCACUCUCACAGUGUAAUUCAUAAAUUCUUAAAUAUGAAUUUCGCUAAUAAUUUGUAGCAGAUGGUUCAUGGAAAGAGGGGGAUUUUCUAUGCACAGUAGAUUUUAGCAGGAUGCCUGGAUUUUUCUUGCCUGACAGGGGGAUCUCUAUUUUUUCUUCAUAAUUUAAACUGUCUGCUGGUGUGGCCAGGUAUCCCAUGGGGCAAAAAGGCACCCAUGGUUAAGAACCAUUACUCUAAGUUUUAGUCCUGUCUAUUGUUUGUUUUCUUGAUGUUUAUAUAGAAGAGUAAAGGUAAGCAAUGUUUUUAGGUCAUUUGGAAACAUAAGCCAUUGAUUGGGCUGAUUAUUUAGAGAAUGGAUGAUUGGAUUAUCAAAAUGUUUGUCAUACAAACAAUGGUACAAUGAUGGUAAAUAUUUAAUGAGUGUUUACUCUGGUGAACAUAAUUCUCAGCAACUAGUUUGUGUUUACAUCUCUAUUUAUAAAGUCCACAAAAAUAUGAUUUAUUUUCCUCGUACUGGACUAGCAAGAAUAGUUAGGAGAAUUAGGUAUUGUCAGGGCUAUAUAGCUAGCUGAAGAAUGAGGUGAGAAGCGUAUUUGACAGUACUCAAGAUGCAUUUAGAGAAAUUGCUCAGUGGUUAAGAGUACUUGCUGCUCUUUCAUAUGAUAGUGGCUCAGCUCUCCAUACCUACACCGUGGCUUACAACUGCCUCUAACCUCAGUUUCAGGAGAUCAGACACCCUGUUCUGGCUUCCAAGGGCUCCUUCAAGGACAUAACAUAUAAUUUCCUGCAGAAAAAAAUACAUAAAUAAUUUUUUUAAGAAAAUAUGGUUUAGACUGUAGACCUUGUCUGCUGCUGUCACUACCAUGCAGACAGUUGGGACUUUUCCCAUGAUGGGAAAUCAAUGACUGUCACAUACACAGGUUUACAUUGAUAAUUAUUCUAUUGCACAAAUUCUUUCUACAAGUUUCUGCUAUCUUAGUUUCCACAGAUUCCAGCUUGAAGUCAAACUGAGUCACCAUCCUUGGCUACACACACACACACACACACACACACACACACACACACACACACACAGAGCUAUGUGUAUAUUCCUCUAGGAGAGGGAAUGGCCCCAUCCACAUUGGCAUGCCAACCAGUGCUGUCUUUAUGCAAAUCUUGUUUAAGCAAUCAUAUCAUUGACAUUCCAUUUUUGUUUCCUUACUAAAUCUAGAGGAUACUAUCUAGCAUCAGACAUCAUGGUCCUUGGGCUCUUAGAGCAAUUUUGGGCCUCUACCACUGUCUUCUUUGAGCAUUAUGGGUAGGGAUUGUAUUGUAGAUGUAUGAAUUUGGGUUGGGCACCCAUAAUCAGUUUUUAGUUCAUCUCUGUAUCAAUUUCAAUCUGCUGUAAAACAAGCUUCUUUGAUGAGGGGUGAGAGCUGCAAUUUUGUGGCUACAAGUAUAAGUUUUUAGCAGUUAAAAGUUACAUGGGUUUAGGUAAAAUGACAGUAGUAGGUUCUCCUCAAGAUAUAUUUACCCCAAAGUAGAAUUUUCAUUCAAACUGAGCUAACAUUAAGAAUAAAAUACCCAGCAUAAGAGAGAGAGAGAGAGAGAGAGAGAGAGAGAGAGAGAGAGAGAGAGAGA